UACGGGGGGGGCAAGCGUUGUUCGGAAUUACUGGGCGUAAAGGGCUCGUAGGUGGCCAACUAAGUCGGACGUGAAAUCCCUCAGCUUAACUGGGGAACUGCGUCCGAUACUGGAUGGCUCGAGUUUGGGAGGGGGAUGGAAUUCCGCGUGUAGCAGUGAAAUGCGUAGAUAUGCGGAGGAACACCGACGGCGAAGGCAAUCCCCUGGACCUGUACUGACGCUCAUGCACGAAAGCGUGGGGAGCAAACAGG
rnacentral:rRNA from 1 species